rnacentral:rRNA from 1 species
UACGUAGGGUGCGAGCGUUAAUCGGAAUUACUGGGCGUAAAGCGUGCGCAGGCGGUUUUGUAAGCCAGAUGUGAAAGCCCCCGGGCUUAACCUGGGAAUGGCAUUUGGGACUGCAAGGCUUGAGUGCGGCAGAGGAGACUGGAAUUCCUGGUGUAGCAGUGAAAUGCGUAGAUAUCAGGAGGAAUACCGAUGGCGAAGGCAGGUCUCUGGGCUGACACUGACGCUCAUGCACGAAAGGCGUGGGGACAAACAGG